rnacentral:lncRNA from 1 species
GAGCCACACGAUUCAAGACCUAACUGCGAACCAGGUACCAUAUGGAGUAGUGAAACCAGCACUUGUACAAACGUGUGCAGUGCUGGCCUUGCAGAACAGGUGUGCAAACAUGGUUGUAAAGCUGACAACGAAAGAUCGUCAAACUACACAUGUCAGUGUCUGGAGGGUCAAGAAUUGAGUGCCGAUGGAUUGUCAUGCAAGAAGAAAGAACAGUGCAGUGACGAAGAAAUAAAAGAAUGCGCCAAGUUUGGCCGCCAGUGCAUAUUUCAAGACUCAAAGUUCCAGUGCAGGUGCUAUGGAACUGCGUUAGACCAGGA